rnacentral:sRNA from 1 species
UGCAACAUCGCAUUGGCCAGUGCCAGGA